CAGCAUGGCCGCAGUCGAAUAACUGAAACAAGUAAAGGAGUAAGAGUAUACCGGAGGAGGUCCCAAGUGGUGUCAAGAAGGGUUAAUCCAAUAAAUGUGUUUGUGUUAAAAAUUGUUUGAAACCCUGUUAGGUUUUAUACUUCAUCUUGGUAGUGUACUAAAGUGAUGACAAUGAUACCGCCCCAGUCUGAAUUUUGUGCGGAAACGGUACAACUGAUUUAGUACAUAAUUGCAAUUGCCAGCUCUUAGACUUGAGUCCAGAUUUUAUUUUAUUUCACCCAGCACAUGAAGAAUCUAAGUCUCUUAGCUUUGCCAUUGGUCUGCUAUCCAGAAAUAGUUUUAAUUUACAAAAUCUGUUAAGGUUAUUGAAUUGUGUUCAGUGUUUUGUACAAGUUGAGCUAUUGGAUGGAGAGUGUCUUGCAUAGUGUGGGUUGCAUUUUUUUCCUGUGCAUGAAAGGGUUGGAGCUGAAAUAAUUUUGGCAUUACUUGGCCUAAGAUUAAUCUCUAAUCCUUUUUCUUGUUUCUCAUAGUGUAGAGUUUGGGUCUUCAGCAAAAGUUGUUGAUGCAUUGAAUAAAUUCUUGUUGACUCUUGCAUUAGAUUUAAUACUGAUUUUGCAGUAAUUGUGGUAUAAGAACAGGUUCAUAUGCCGUCGUAUCGUAUAGGGAAUACAAUUGCACGCGAUCCCAUUCUUAAUGAGUUAUUCCAUGCCGUACAAUACAUACAGUAACAAUAAAACAUAAGUGGAUUGACGACUAGUCUUCUGUUUGGCGAUAAACCUUAUUUAUUUUACAAUCGUGUUGAUGUUGGGAGUUUGUAAGCGUUAGCAGGUUUUGUGUCUGUGUGUUCGUGAGUGUGACAGAGCGAAAGGUGAAUGUGAUUGACAUAGAAAAGUACCUGAUGGUGGAGGCGGCAAAGAUAGUAGACUCUCCGUGUUGAGUGUACAUUUAGCAUCGUAGCUAGUUGUAGCAGGAACAAUUGUAUAUCAUUUGGUUGAGCAGCGCUGUCUCUGAAGCCAGUUCUUACAAGAACUAAAACUAAAGACAGGUAAUUGAUUUACUGUUUAUGAGGUACACGAAGUGUAAGAGUUCAAUAUCAAGAUGUUGUGUCUCGGAGCUGAGAUUAGUUGAAUCACUUGUGUUUAUCUUUCUCUUGAUAUGAACAUUCUUUCAGAUAUAUUUACUGUAGCCGUUUUCCCGUGGUGAGAUUUUUACCUAACCGCUUGAGUUGAAUCUGUAGUUAUCUUGUGUACAAGUUAAAUCUUCGUAGAUAGAGACGAUGUUGGCGAUGACGUUGUGUCUACUGCUUGGUUUUUGCAGCGUCUUCAUUAUAUAUUCUGCUUGGUUAGUUUUCUCUUGAUAUAGAUAUUCUGCAACUGUUUUUCCGUGGUGAGAUUUUCACACUAACCAUUCAUCUUAUGUACAAGGUAAAUCUUCGUAGAUGGUUUUGCUUGGUGGUCGCCUGCCUUUCGAACUGGAACAUGUUUGAGUAUGCUCUGUGUGGUCAGAGGUUUAGUCCCCACCAGGACUAGAAACCAAAGACGAACUCUGUGGUCAGAGGUCAGUUCUGAGAAGAACUAGAAACCUAAGACGAAAAGUGUCUGAGAAACACUCUCUUAUAUACAGGUUAGGUGGCUCAAACGAACUUCAGAAAUGGAAAGCUGUGAUUGGCUGUUUGGAACAAUGGCGCGAAAAUAAGCGGAGACAAAUUGCGUCACGUGACAACCAGCAGUGCGAACCGUGCAGAGACCGCUCGUGUCACAUGUCAACCAGUGGUGCGAACUAAGUAGAGACAAAUCGCGUCACGUGUCAACCAAACGGAUUAGUGUUUACAACAAACGUUAAACUAGCUGAAGAUGUUUGUAAUCUCGAACAAGAUUAUUCUUAAUGCUCUUCUCAAACAGUGAAGAUAGCAAUGGGGGAAACGAUAUUGCUACAGUGGUGAUAUCCCAGUCUGUUUAGUGAGUUCAUAGUCUAAUGAUUUGAAACCCAGUACCUUUUUUGUUUUAAGGCUUGGUAUUUAUUCUAUUGGUCUCUUUAGUCAAGUAGUGGUGAGUGGGCAUUGGUUUCUGCCCCUCUAAUAAGUCCUAAUAAAACUAGCAGGAGGCAAGGAGUUGAUUUAACCCUUUCAUUGCCAUAUUUCUACUGAAAUAGGGGAGAAUUUAGUAAAAGAGCUGGUGUUAGGAAUGAAACUUACCAUGAAAUUGUGAUGGGAGAUUUUUCAGAUAACUUUAUGAAAAGGAGGUUGCCAUACUGGAGGAGGUCCCAAGUGGUGUCAAGAAGGGUUAAUCCGAUAAAUGUGUUUGUGUUAAAAAUUGUUUGAAACCCUGUUAGGUUUUAUGCUUCAUCUUGGUAGUGUACUAAAGUGAUGACAAUGAUACCGCCCCAGUCUGAAUUUUGUGCGGAAACGGUACAACUGAUUUAGUACAUAAUUGCAAUUGUCAGCUCUUAGACUUGAGUCCAGAUUUUAUUUUAUUUCACCCAGCACAUGAAGAAUCUAAGUCUCUUAGCUUUGUCAUUGGUCUGCUAUCCAGAAAUAGUUUUAAAUUACAAAAUGUGUUCAGUGUUUUGUACAAGUUGAGCUAUUGGAUGGAACGUGGGUUGCAUUUUUUUCCUGUGCAUGAAAGGGUUGGAGCUGAAAUAAUUUUGGCAUUAGUUGGCCUAAGAUUAAUCUCUAAUCCUUUUUCUUGUUUCUCAUAGUGUAAGGUUUGGGUCAUCAGCAAAAGUUGUUGAUGCAUUGAAUAAAUUCUUGUUGACUCUUGCAUUAGAUUUAAUACUGAUUUUGCAGUAAUUGUGGUGAUAUCCCAGUCUGUUUAGUGAGUUCAUAGUCUAAUGAUAUCGAUGUGCUCUUAAUUGCCGUACAUUCUUUAGAUCUAUUGCUUUGUGUUGCAUGUUUUGUCUAAUUUACUUUACUGUUUAGUAAAAAAAAAUGUGAACUGUCAAUGGCUUGGCUGAAAAUACAAGUCUAGCAGUCCAAAUGCAUUAUAGAUAUUUCUAAAAAGGAAUUCAAUAGAAUAUUCAUCCUGUUUCUGCCACAGUUAUGACUUGUAUUCUAAUUAUAUUUGCUCCUCUUCUGAAUGUAACAUGUAAUGAAAGUCUGGAGCCAACAGAAGUUUCCUUUUCAUGUAUAUAUCUUAUACAUUUUUCUUCUUUUUUCCCCCAAACCACAGGUUCAAAACUGACAGCAGAUGAUGGUAUUGAGCAUCCAUUUUAAACUAUUAUUUGAGGCAUUCUCAAGUGCUUGAUAUAAUUCCAAAUAUACAAGAUCUUCAUGGUGAUGACACACAUAAGGAAUUUUCUACUGGACCAGAAUUCUAUACACUCUGUAGAAGAAAUGAAUAAAAGUUCUUCAAAACCAACAAAAUUACUUUUCUUUUUUUUUUUUUCUUUUUUUUAACUACAUAUUGUAGAUAUUGAAUAAAUGUUCAUCAUAU
rnacentral:lncRNA from 1 species